rnacentral:sRNA from 1 species
CUCCCCCCUUUUCCCUAAAGUCGGGGGGCUUGCUGGGGGUAACCAGCAAGCCCGUCUAUGACCAGCCCGAGCGGUAGAGCCGAAGGACAAGGCGAUGAAGCCGCUACGUUACCAACAGGUUCGAGACCCACUCCGGAGUGCUUCUCCAGCCCCGGACCCUGGAAGUUCCGGUUGCAGACAAGCUUCGGGGUGUGCGCGAAACGGACCGGAACAGACUGCCGGUCGGCAACUUGGGCGAGGAGAGCGGUUCGGGAGAGUCCGCCCGAACCCGUCACCAACCCCGUAAGGGG